rnacentral:rRNA from 1 species
GGGGAAUAUUGGACAAUGGGCGCAAGCCUGAUCCAGCCAUGCCGCGUGGGUGAAGAAGGCCUUCGGGUUGUAAAGCCCUUUUGUUGGGAAAGAAAAGCAGCCGGCCAAUACCCGGUUGUUCUGACGGUACCCAAAGAAUAAGCACCGGCUAACUUCGUGCCAGCAGCCGCGGUAAUACGAAGGGUGCAAGCGUUACUCGGAAUUACUGGGCGUAAAGGGUGCGUAGGCGGUUUAUCAAGUCAGGGGUGAAAGGCUACGGCUCAACCGUAGUGAGCCUCUGAAACUGGUGAACUUGAGUGUAGGAGAGGAAAGUGGAAUUCCCAGUGUAGCGGUGAAAUGCGUAGAUAUUAGGAAGAACACCAGUGGCGAAGGCGGCUUUCUGGACUGUAACUGACGCUGAUGCAUGAAAGCGUGGGGAGCAAACA